AUACGUAGGUGGCGAGCGUUAUCCGGAUUUACUGGGUGUAAAGGGUGUGUAGGCGGGAUUGCAAGUCAGAUGUGAAAAUCAUGGGCUCAACUCAUGACCUGCAUUUGAAACUGUGGUUCUUGAGGGUCGGAGAGGUAACCGGAAUUCCUGGUGUAGCGGGGAAAUGCGUAGAUAUCAGGAGGAACACCGGUGGCGAAGGCGGGUUACUGGACGAUUACUGACGCUGAGACACGAAAGCGUGGGGAGCAAACAGGAUUAGAUACCCUGGUAGUCCACACUGUAAACGAUGAAUGCUAGGUGUAGGGGGUAUCGACCCCUUCUGUGCCGCAGUUAACACAAUAAGCAUUCCGCCUGGGGAGUACGGCCGCAAGGUUGAAACUCAAAUGAAUUGACGGGG
rnacentral:rRNA from 1 species